rnacentral:rRNA from 1 species
CCUACGGGUGGCAGCAGUGGGGAAUAUUGCACAAUGGGGUAAACCCUGAUGCAGCGACGCCGCGUGAGCGAGGAAGUAUUUCGGUAUGUAAAGCUCUAUCAGCAGGGACGAAAAAAGACGGUACCUGACUAAGAAGCCCCGGCUAACUACGUGCCAGCGGCCGCGGUAAUACGUAGGGGGCAAGCGUUAUCCGGAAUCAUUGGGCGUAAAGAGGGAGCAGGCGGCCUGGAGGGUCUAUUGUUAAAAGGCAAUGGCUUAACCAUUGUAAGGCGAAGAAACCGGCAGGCUAGAGUGCGAAAGAGGAUCGUGGAAUUCCAGGUGUAGCGGUGAAAUGCGUAGAUAUAUGGAGGAACACCAGUGGCGAAGGCGACGAUCUGGGAAGAAACAGACGCUGAGUCCCGAAAGCGUGGGGAGCAAAUAGGAUUAGAUACCCCGGUAGUC